rfam:Geobacillus sp. WCH70, complete genome.
UCCGUGGUGACGCGGAAUCUGAAGGAAACAGACGGCAAACUUCCGGUCGGCAGUGUGCGAGGACGAGGGUUAAUCAU